rnacentral:rRNA from 1 species
GACGAACGCUGGCGGCGUGCUUAACACAUGCAAGUCGAACGGACAGGCCCUGCUCUUGUGGGGUGCUCGAGUGGCGAACGGGUGAGUAACACGUGAGUAACCUGCCCUUGACUUUGGGAUAACUUCAGGAGACUGGGGCUAAUAUCGGAUAGGAGCUCCUGCUGCAUGGUGGGGGUUGGAAAGUUUCGGCGGUUGGGGAUGGACUCGCGGCUUAUCAGCUUGUUGGUGGGGUAGUGGAUUACCAAGGCUUUGAAGGGUAGCCGGCCUGGGAGGGUGAACGGGCACCAUGGGACUGAGAGACGGCCCAGAAUCGUACGGGAGGCAGCAGUGGAGAAUAUUGCAGAAUGGGCGGAAGCCAGAGGCAGCAACGCCGCGUGCGGGAUGACGGCCUUCGGGUGGUAAACCGCUUUCGCCGGUGACGAAGCGGGAGUGACGGUAAUGGGUAAAGAAGCACCGGCUAACUACGUG